GACGAACGCUGGCGGCGCGCUUAACACAUGCGAGUCGAACGGAAAGGCCUGCUUUCCCUUGUGGAUUGCGGGUACUCGAGUGGCGAACGGGUGAGUAACACGUGAGUGAUCUGCCCCCAACUUGGGUAUAAGCCUGGGAAACUGGGUCUAAUUCCCGAUAGGACUGCAGGGUGGUGCCUGUGGUGGAAAACGAUUUUCUAGUGGUUGGGGAUGAGCUCGCGGCCUAUCAGCUUGUUGGUGGGGUAAUGGCCUACCAAGGCGGCGACGGGUAGCCGGCCUGAGAGGGUGGACGGCCACAUUGGGACUGAGAUACGGCCCAGACUCCUACGGGAGGCAGCAGUGGGGAAUAUUGCACAAUGGGCGGAGGCCUGAUGCAGCGACGCCGCGUGGGGGAUGACGGCCUUCGGGUUGUAAACUCCUUUCGACCGCGAGGAAGCCACCUGGUUGGAAGGGUGGUGACGGUAGUGGUAGAAGAAGCACCGGCUAACUACGUG
rnacentral:rRNA from 1 species